AAUCAACGCUGGCGGCGUGCCUCAGACAUGCAAGUCGAACGAUUAAAGCUCUCUUCGGAGAGUGUAUAGAGUGGCGCACGGGUGAGUAACACGUAAGUAAUCUACCCUCGAGUGGGAAGUAACGUCCGGAACGGACGCUAAUACCGCAUAAUGUAGCGGCGACCGCAAGGUGACAGUUAGUUAAAGGAAGAAAUUCGCUUGAGGAGGAGCUUGCGGCAGAUUAGUC
rnacentral:rRNA from 1 species